rnacentral:rRNA from 1 species
ACGCACGCUGGCGGCCUGCCUAACACAUGCAAGUCGCACGAGACCUUCGGGUCUAGUGGCGCACGGGUGCGUAACGCGUGGGAACCUGCCCUUAGGUUCGGAAUAACUCCCCGAAAGGGGUGCUAAUACCGGAUAAUGUCUUCGGACCAAAGAUUUAUCGCCUUUGGAUGGGCCCGCGUUGGAUUAGCUAGUUGGUAGGGUAAAAGCCUACCAAGGCGACGAUCCAUAGCUGGUCUGAGAGGAUGAUCAGCCACACUGGGACUGAGACACGGCCCAGACUCCUACGGGAGACAGCAGUGGGGAAUAUUGGACAAUGGGCGAAAGCCUGAUCCAGCAAUGCCGCGUGAGUGAUGAAGGCCUUAGGGUUGUAAAGCUCUUUUACCCGGGAUGAUAAUGACAGUACCGGGAGAAUAAGCUCCGGCUAACUCCGUG